GGACCUAGACAUGGGGAACGAGAUGAGGUGGAGGAUGUAGUAUCUGCUUGUGUGCGCGCCCGUGGGACGCCUUCUCUUUGAAGUCCUUGCCCGCCGCAGAAACUGUGGCUUAGCUGACUAGUAGCUUGUCAGGAUCGGCGUGAAACAUCUUCUGCAACGACUUCUCCUGGGGAAACGUUGCCAUUGUUGAAGACACAUCCCGAAUCCAGCGUCAUAUGGUUGGUACAAGAAACUAAAAACUAAAAACACAAAACACCAGACAAACAAAACGUUUCCCAGUUUGGUUCUCCGCCCCCAAGGCUGGCAACUUGGCUGCGAUCAUGUAAUUUGCAUCUCUCUCUCUCUCUCGCUCGCUUGCUCUCUCCCGUAUGUCGAAACCCUACAAACGAAUCAUCAAUGGCUUCGGCAGGCUCUACACCCACGAAUUCCCGGCGAGUCCUGCGCCACGAAGCCCCAUUUCUUGGGGCCAGACGCGGUUCUUGAUUUCGAACCCCUUCAGCUCCUGUCGCACCUCAAAUCUCUCGCCGUCUUCGGAUUCCGCAUCCCCGAAUCGCAUCUUUUCUCGUCUGUUCGCUUUGAAUUGCAACUCGAGGCAUCGGGGCCCCGUGACCGCCGCUAAGCUGCCAUCUUUGGGUCUCGGGAUCAAGGGCCUCGCUCGGAUCAACGAGAACGGGUGUGGCUCCCGGUUCUUCUCCUUCAAGAGUUUGAAUUAUGGCAAGUACAGCAGCUUCGGUGUGGGCAUGGGGAAAUCGGUGGUCGAUAAGCCAUUGUCGGCCGUUUCAUCGGCUUUCUCUCGGUACCGCCAAGUGGUUGGAUUGCAAAUGGAGGCGUUUUGGAAGAGGAAUCAUAUGAUACUAGUGUGGAGCGGGGCUGUGGUUGUCUGCAUUGUACUCUGGAGGAUCAUGUUUGGGAUCGCGAGCACCUUUGUUGGCCUUUCGGAAGGCACGGCGAAGUACGGGUUUCUUGCGCUCGCGUCAGCCAUUGUGGCCUUUGCGGGAAUGUGUUUUCGUGCACGGUUUGCUAUCAACCCUGACAAGGUUUAUAGAUUAGCAAUGAGCAAGUUGAACGCAUCUGCUGGGAUUCUGGAGGUAAUGGGUGCCCCUUUAACUGGGACAGACUUGAGAGCAUACGUAACAUCAGGGGGUCAACCCAAGCUUAAAAACUUUAAGUUGAAGUUUGGUGACAAACGGUGUUUUCUACUUUUUCCUGUCCGAGGAUCUGAAAGGAAGGGUCUUGUAAGCGUUGAGGUCAAGAAGAAAAAGGGUCAGUAUGUCAUGAAGCUACUUGCGGUUGAUAUACCAAUGGCUUCAGGGCCCGACCAGCGACUGUUCGUCUUGGGGGAUGAGCAGGAAUACAGAGUGGGAGGAGGAUUGAUAUCUGAACUAAGGGAUCCCAUAGUGAAAGCAAUGUCUGCAGAGAAGGAAUUCCAAGAUCUAGACCAGAAAGAGGACGAAGAAGAUGAAAUCAGGGAGAGGGAGGAGGCAGAAAGAAGGCAGCAAGUGGAGAAGCAAAGAGCACUUGAGCAGGCAGAAAAGAAUCGGCAUGAAGAGGAAAAAAGGAGCAAUUGAUGCAGCUGAGAGCAAACGGUGCUGAGUCCAACGACACGGAGAAAGAUAAUAGAAUUAACUGGUGGCAUUACAUCUACCAUUCUUCAUUUCUCGAGUAUCAGAACAGCGGCAUCCUGGCUUGCAGAGAACAAAAUUUAUGUGGUACCGUAAUUCUUUUUUACCUGCGAGAAGUUUACGACAGAGUUGGUGAUUUUUGCGAGGGUGUUCGAGCCGAAUCAAAAAAUGGAAUCGAAUCGAUUCAAUUAUAAAUGAGUCUGGUUCGGAGGUAUGCUUCUUUGGUUCAGUCAAUCGGUUCGAUAAGUUUAAUUUCAAUUCGGUUGGAUUGAAUUGAAUCGAUUUAUCUUAAAAAUAUAUUUUUAAAAAUUACUUAAAAUUAUAAAUCGAUUCAAUUGGAUACAUCCAAAUCGAUUCGAUUUAUCUUUGGCUCUUUACGAUAACUGCGGUCCUUUAUUUCAAAUCUUGCAAAGCUUUAUAUUCUUGGCAUGACAUGGUAUAGCCCCACUUGCACCUUUUGAUAGCAACAACCAUGUAGAGUUUCUUGUGCACGUCCACUGCCGUUCAUUUUGGUUUCUCGUGAGAGGUUUGUCCACAAAUUGACCGCUUUCCAAGUCUGACUACUGUUAUACGUCUCUGAACGUUCUAAACACGGCACAUAAGAGAGAGAGAGAGAGAGAGAGAGAGAGAGAGAGAGAGAGAGAGACUAAAAGUAAAGUUUUUGGCAACAAAUGAAAGGUCUGUGGGAGACUCUUCCACUUGGCCUUUUCCAUGGCACAAGACAAAAGUGUUAUGGUUAAUAAUUCACGGUCUUUUCCAUGGCCAUUUGCUAUCAGAGGUCCUCUAUAAUAGAUGAGAUAGAAAAAGAUGAGUACUGACACAUGACUGGCUGACACGCUUGUGAAAAGCUGACAGCGAUGAUGGUAGAUUUCUCCACAUAUUCCUCCCUCAGGUUCUCUAGGAUAAGGUUGGAAUUGAAUUUUAUAUAUAUACAUACAUACAUAUGACAGAGGCAAUGAGAUAUUUUCGUCUUGUCAGCCUUGAAAUAUUUUCGUCUCUUUUUCCCUUUUUCUCUUCCAACAUAAUGCCAAAAUGGACUAAAGCCACAAACAAUACAAAAGAUGACUCGGUAGUCGACUUCAUUCCAAGCCAUCGAUU